rnacentral:pre_miRNA from 1 species
AAAAAGACAAAUCCUGCUUUCCGUGUCCAACGUUUGACCAUCCGUCUUAUUUAAAAAAUUAUAAAAAAAUAAAAAAAAUAAGUCACGUAUAAAGUAUUAAUCAUGUUUUAUCAUUUAACAAUAAUGAAAAUAGUAAUUAUAAAAAAAUUUCAUAUAAAAUGGACAGUCAAACGUUGGCACGAAAACCCAGGGUUUGUCUUUUU